rnacentral:tRNA from 1 species
ACCUGGGUGGCUUAGUCAGUUAAGCGUCUGACUUUGGCUCAGGUCUCUAUCUCAAGGCACGUGAGUUCGAGCCCACAUCAGGCU